AACGCGAAGAACCUUACCCAGACUUGACAUGCAGUGGACAGCUCUAGAAAUAGAGUCUCUCUUCGGAGCCGCUGCACAGGUGCUGCAUGGCUGUCGUCAGCUCGUGCCGUGAGGUGUUUGGUUAAGUCCAGCAACGAGCGCAACCCUUAUCAUUAGUUGCCAACAUUUAAGGUGGGAACUCUAAUGAGACUGCCCGGGUUAACCGGGAGGAAGGUGAGGAUGACGUCAAGUCCGCAUGGCCCUUAUGUCUGGGGCUACACACGUGCUACAAUGGUCGGUACAGAAGGCAGCGAAACCGCGAGGUGAAGCAAAUCCCAAAAAGCCGAUCUCAGUUCAGAUUGUAGUCUGCAACUCGACUACAUGAAGACGGAAUUGCUAGUAAUGGCAGGUCAGCACACUGCCGUGAAUACGUUCCCGGGCCUUGUACACACCGCUCGCGA
rnacentral:rRNA from 1 species